rnacentral:rRNA from 1 species
UACGUAGGGACCGAGCGUUGUCCGGAAUCAUUGGGCGUAAAGAGCGUGUAGGCGGCCACUUAAGUCCUGCGUGAAAUCUUGCGGCUCAACCGCAAGCGGUCGUGGGAAACUGGGUGGCUAGAGUGCGGGAGAGGAGAGUGGAAUUCCUGGUGUAGCGGUGGAAUGCGCAGAUAUCAGGAAGAACACCCGUGGCGAAGGCGGCUCUCUGGAACGCAACUGACGCUGAGACGCGAAAGCGUGGGGAGCAACAGG